GAUGAAGAACGUAGCAAACUGCGAUACUUGGUGUGAAUUGCAGAAUCCCGUGAACCAUCGAGUCUUUGAACGCAAGUUGCGCUUGAAGCCAUUAGGCUGAGGGCACGUCUGCCUGGGCGUCACAUAUCGUUGCCUGAUGCCAGUUUCCUCGUGAUGGGUGACUGUGCAGGGCGAAUGAUGGCUUCCCGUGAGCAUUGUUGCCUCAUGGUUGGUUGAAAAUUGAGUCCUUGGUAGGGAGCGCCGUGAUAGAUGGUGGUUGAGUGACGAACGAGACCCAAUCAUGUGAGACCCCUACCGAAUUUGGCCUUCAUGACCCACAUGCGUCUUUGGAACGCUCAUGACGAGACCUCAGGUCAGGCGGGGCUACCCGCUGAGUUUAAGCAUAUCAAUAAGCGGAGGA
rnacentral:misc_RNA from 1 species